GCAAGUCGAACGAUGAAGCCCUUCGGGGUGGAUUAGUGGCGAACGGGUGAGUAACACGUGGGCAAUCUGCCCUUCACUCUGGGACAAGCCCUGGAAACGGGGUCUAAUACCGGAUAUCACUUCCACUCGCAUGGGUGGAGGUUGAAAGCUCCGGCGGUGAAGGAUGAGCCCGCGGCCUAUCAGCUUGUUGGUGAGGUAAUGGCUCACCAAGGCGACGACGGGUAGCCGGCCUGAGAGGGCGACCGGCCACACUGGGACUGAGACACGGCCCAGACUCCUACGGGAGGCAGCAGUGGGGAAUAUUGCACAAUGGGCGAAAGCCUGAUGCAGCGACGCCGCGUGAGGGAUGACGGCCUUCGGGUUGUAAACCUCUUUCAGCAGGGAAGAAGCGAAAGUGACGGUACCUGCAGAAGAAGCGCCGGCUAACUACGUGCCAGCAGCCGCGGUAAUACGUAGGGCGCGAGCGUUGUCCGGAAUUAUUGGGCGUAAAGAGCUCGUAGGCGGCUUGUCACGUCGGGUGUGAAAGACCGGGGCUUAACUCCGGUUCUGCAUUCGAUACGGGCUAGCUAGAGUGUGGUAGGGGAGAUCGGAAUUCCUGGUGUAGCGGUGAAA
rnacentral:rRNA from 1 species